rnacentral:rRNA from 1 species
AUUGAACGCUGGCGGCAUGCCUUACACAUGCAAGUCGAACGGCAGCGGACCUUCGGGUGCCGGCGAGUGGCGAGCGGGUGAGUAAUAUCUCGGAACGUACCUUUCAGUGGGGGAUAACGUAGCGAAAGUUACGCUAAUACCGCAUAUUCUGUGAGCAGGAAAGCAGGGGAUCGCAAGACCUUGCGCUGAUUGAGCGGCCGAUAUCAGAUUAGCUAGUUGGUGAGGUAAAGGCUCACCAAGGCGACGAUCUGUAGCGGGUCUGAGAGGAUGAUCCGCCACACUGGAACUGAGACACGGUCCAGACUCCUACGGGAGGCAGCAGUGGGGAAUUUUGGACAAUGGGCGGCAAGCCUGAUCCAGCCAUGCCGCGUGAGUGAAGAAGGCCUGUGUUAGAGUACUUCGUCGGUACGAAGUAAC